UAGAAAUACCGCACUGGUGGGGUAUGGAUCCGAAGCCUCUAGAAGGAUAAUAAAGGCUCUCUACGAUCCUCUACUCCUACUCAAUACGUCCACGGCGUACAGAGCGGUAACAUGUCUCUCCAAAUAUCUGAACUUGGGUAUACGGGGAAACCCAACCCCUUGGGAGGUUGGGUGAUAUGGCUAAACUGAGAGGA
rnacentral:ribozyme from 1 species